GACGAACGCUGGCGGCGUGCCUAAUACAUGCAAGUAGAACGCUGAAGAGAGGAGCUUGCUCUUCUUGGAUGAGUUGCGAACGGGUGAGUAACGCGUAGGUAACCUGCCUUGUAUCGGGGGAUAACUAUUGGAAACGAUAGCUAAUACCGCAUAACAAUGGAUUACACAUUUCUUUUAUUUGAAAGUGGCAAUUGCUCCACUACAAGAUGGACCUGCGUUUUUUUAGCUAGUAGGUGAGGUAACGGCUCACCUAGGCGACGAUACAUAGCCGACCUGGGAGGGGGAUGGGCCAAAAUGGGAAGGGGACAAGGCCCAGAGUGCUACGGGAGGCAGCAGUAGGGAAUCUUCGGCAAUGGGGGGAACACAGACCGAGAAACGCCGAGUGAGUGAAGAAGGGUUUCGGAUCGUAAAGCUCUGUUGUAAGUCAAGAACGAGUGUGAGAGUGGAAAGUUGACAGUGUGACGGUAGCUGACCAGAAAGGGACGGCUAACUACGUG
rnacentral:rRNA from 1 species